GACGAACGCUGGCGGCGUGCUUAACACAUGCAAGUCGAACGAAGAGCGAUGGAAGCUUGCUUCUAUCAAUCUUAGUGGCGAACGGGUGAGUAACGCGUAAUCAACCUGCCCUUCAGAGGGGGACAACAGUUGGAAACGACUGCUAAUACCGCAUACGAUCUAAUCUCGGCAUCGAGGAUAGAUGAAAGGUGGCCUCUACAUUUAAGCUAUCCCUGAAGGAGGGGAUUGCGUCUGAUUAGCUAGUUGGAGGGGUAACGGCCCACCAAGGCGAUGAUCAGUAGCCGGUCUGAGAGGAUGAACGGCCACAUUGGGACUGAGACACGGCCCAGACUCCUACGGGAGGCAGCAGUGGGGAAUCUUCCGCAAUGGACGAAAGUCUGACGGAGCAACGCCGCGUGAGUGAUGACGGCCUUCGGGUUGUAAAGCUCUGUUAAUCGGGACGAAAGGCCUUCUUGCGAAUAGUGAGAAGGAUUGACGGUACCGGAAUAGAAAGCCACGGCUAACUACGUG
rnacentral:rRNA from 1 species